CCUACGGGCGGCAGCAGUGAGGAAUAUUGGUCAAUGGACGAGAGUCUGAACCAGCCAAGUAGCGUGAAGGAUGACUGCCCUAUGGGUUGUAAACUUCUUUUAUAUGGGAAUAAAAUGUUCCACGUGUGGGAUUUUGUAUGUACCCUAUGAAUAAAGAUCGGCUAACUCCGUGCCAGCAGCCGCGGUAAUACGGAGGAUCCGAGCGUUAUCCGGAUUUAUUGGGUUUAAAGGGAGCGUAGGUGGGUUGUUAAGUCAGUUGUGAAAGUUUGCGGCUCAACCGUACAAUUGCAGUUGAAACUGGCAGUCUUGAGUACAGUAGAGGUGGGCGGAAUUCGUGGUGUAGCGGUGAAAUGCUUAGAUAUCACGAAGAACUCCGAUUGCGAAGGCAGUUCACUGGACUGCAACUGACACUGAGGCUCGAAAGUGUGGGUAUCAAACAGGAUUAGAUACCCUAGUAGUC
rnacentral:rRNA from 1 species